UCAAAAUGUCAAAAUACAGAAGUAAAAGUCUGCUGCUGAGAGCUAAAAAUGCGGAAUUGACCAGUCAGUGGUAUUUUUAUCAUAUCUAGGUCUAGACAGCUCUAAAUUGGAUGAUUCUUGAGGCAUUGGACAGCUAUUUCAAUGGGCUACAACUUCUAUGUUUUUCACAAGAGCUAAUUUAGCCGUCAUCAUAGAGAAAAUAGCAGUUGAAGUAGCCAGAUUCUGGUCAGAAAUAGCUGCUGGUACAACCUGUUUUCUCCUUCAACAAUUUACAGCUAUGGAUGAACGUAUGAC
rnacentral:lncRNA from 1 species